rnacentral:rRNA from 1 species
GACGAACGCUGGCGGCGUGCUUAACACAUGCAAGUCGAACGGAAAGGCCCGGCUUUUGUGGGGUGCUCGAGUGGCGAGCGGGGGAGUAACACGUGUGUAACCUGCCCUUUACUUUGGGAUAACUUCUGGAAACUGGGGCUAAUACCGGAUAGGAGCUCCUGCUGCAUAGUGUGGGUUGGAAAGUUUCGGCGGUUGGGGAUGUACUCGCGGCUUAUCAGCUUGUUGGUGGGGUAGUGGCUUACCAAGGCUUUGACGGGUAGCCGGCCUGGGAGGGUGAACGGCCACAUUGGGACUGAGAUACGGCCCAGAAUCCUACGGGAGGCAGCAGUGGGGAAUAUUGCACAAUGGGCGGAAGCCUGAUGCAGAAAUGCCGCGUGCGGGAUGACGGCCUUCGGGUUGUAAACCGAUUUCGCAUGUGACGAAGAGUGAGUGACGGUAAUGGGUAAAGAAGCACCGGCUAACUACGUG